UGUUGACAGAAUGUGAUGGUGGAUUAUUAUCAGUUAGUAGUAUAUUUAUACUUUAUUAUUCUCAUCUCUCUCCUCCUAUCCUUUCUUUCAUUUUCUCUCUCGUAGGAGUGUAGCUUUAAAAGACUCUCAUGUAUUUAAUUUUGAGCAGGAGUUAGAAUCCUUACAAGAGGCCCACAGGUCAAUGGUGGCCAGUACUGCAAGGAAAGGGAAACUGGAAUUAGUAAUGAGACAAAAGUUAGAAUAGGAAUUGAAGCAAUACAGAGAAUAACUGGACAGCUCCUCCAACUCAGUGGGGACUGCAGCUUCCACUUCCCCUAAAGCCAUGAUCAUUCUCUCCUAUCUUGGGGAAGAUAGCAGAUAAAAUAAAAGGAGGCAAAUUCAUUGAAAUGAAAGAGCUCAUGCCAGACAACGCUGCCCUCAAAUCCCAAUGGGCGGAUUCGGGCUCCAGCGCAACAAAC